UACGGAGGGUGCAAGCGUUAUCCGGAAUCACUGGGCGUAAAGGGCGCGUAGGUGGCGCCGCAAGUCCAUGGUGAAAGCUCGAUGCUCAACAUCGAGUCGGCCACGGAGACUGCGGGGCUCGAGCACUGUAGGGGCAGAUGGAAUUCCGGGUGUAGCGGUGGAAUGCGUAGAGAUCCGGAAGAACACCGGUGGCGAAGGCGGUCUGCUGGGCAGUUGCUGACACUGAGGCGCGACAGCGUGGGGAGCAAACAGG
rnacentral:rRNA from 1 species